GUAACUCCCCAUGCACAAGAGCUGACUGUGGCUCUGGGAAGACAUUUUACUCAUUUGGUUUCUUCUUUCUUAUAGUCUUCUUGUCCUGCUCUCAGGUGUUUACCACCUAUUAGAAUUUCACCUGUAUGGGUACUGUGUUUGAGAAUGUCCCAGGACUUGUCAGCUGGUAUAGGCCUCAUAAAAGACAGCUCUGUUCAGGGUUUGAAAGGGACUGCAGUUAAAAGCUAGGGCUAGGAUUUGGAGGAUGUGUAGGCAAACGGAAGGAGAGCCGGGGGAAGAAAAACCGAAAUGGAUUCAUUCUCUGUCCUGGAUGGAGGAGGAGAAGAGAAGAGAAGGGGAUGUGAAAGGUUCCUUCAACUGCCUGUCCGGUGAAAAGUGAUCAAACCCCCGGGGCUGAAGAGAACUCAAGAGUCCACGCGGACUUUCGCUUUAUCCUGCCAAUCAAACUGCUUACUAGACAACACCCUGAUCUGGCAUGGACAUAGUCCAAAGAUAUCCUGAUGUUGAAGAAACCUCUUCAGUUACACCCAGUCCCAUGUUACUAUCAGAGGUGGAAGGGGACAGUUAAAUGAGUGCGUAACCGCCGUAGAGCAACAAUUUGAAUAUUAAUAUUUUACUUUCUUCAAACAACAACAACAAAAAGAUACUUCAAAACCAGUAAGAAGGAUAAGCUUGGAGCGCCCAGUCACCGUGGUAACUGCCAGAAAAAUUCUCCUGAAGUUUGAAGAGGUCAGCUAACAGGGUCAACAACUCUGGCCUCUUUCUGAGCUGGGCCUGGCAGGCCCCAUCCUGCAGUUGGAGUGGUAGGCCAGGCCUAGCCCUGGGAGGUGGACCAUUCCAGCUCUGAUAUAAAUUUUUUGAGUCAGUUCACGGCCUGGACUCUCCAGGUGGUCUCCAAAAUCGAUUGUGACCUUCUGACCCUGUCUAACGGAGGCAUAGCAUCCAACCUAAGUAAGGAUUUAGCCAGGAAUGACAGCUUUCCACUGAGUGUUAUUGGGGACAGUACAAACAAUUUUGGAAGCAAGGAGGGCUACAGCAAAAACAACUUAAUGACAUGAGAAGGCCCAUUGACUUCAGAGGCACUCCUUGUGGGAAUAAGACUGGCAGAAUCUGGCUCAUACUCUUCAAUGAGGACUAGUGCCUUUGCUUGGUUUACAGAAAACAUAUUUAAAAAUGCGAGUUAUGAGCAGUCAAAUGAUUUUUAGCAGAGCUUACUAUAUCCUCAUCUCCUUUGGGGCAUGAUUCUACAUUUCCCCCGUCCUGCCUAACAAGCACAUGGGCUGCCACUAAGACAGUCUGCAUGAUGGAGAAUGCAGCCUCGGUGAGCAUAAUAUGAUCAUGGUCGUUCUAGCCGUGCUGUAUCUGAACAAGUUACACUGAAGAAGCCCUACUACGAGGGAAUUACAAUUGAGCUUUGGGACCUGAAGGACGUGUUGUUGUUGAAGGAGCAUGUAUGAAAAUGGACAGCACCAUUUUUGCUUUCUGGAGGUUCUGAGGUCCGGGACAGUUUCACUUUGAACCAAAAAUGUAGACACUAGCUGAAUAGGAAAAGAAAAGCAGCCACUCAGCGACUGUAGACUCCCGCAUAAGAAUGUGGUGGGUUCUGAAAGAAGUUGUCCUGCUGUGGAAUGGCCGUUACACAUAUCUCAAGGAGCAGCGUGUAAACAAAGUGUCACAUGGACUGCAAGAAGAUAGAGAAAUGUAAUGGAUCUAUACUUUAUUUAAACACGAGGGGUAAGAGAAUAGCAUAUUCACGAGUGGACAAAAUGAUGUUUAUGGAUGUAGAGCUGGCUAGAAGAUUUAAAAAGUGUUUUAUUAGUUUAAAAAAAAAUACUACCCAAAACUGAAAAAAAUAUGGCAAAGUUAUUUGGAUUUUUUCCUCUAUGUUUAAUCACCUCUAAUAAAUAUCUAAUUUCACCAUUAUCUUCCCGUUUAAAAGUAUAUAUACGCACCCAUUUAAGAUGGGUCUAAUAAGUGGAAUGUAUAGCACUGCAUAUAUUAGGAGCUGGACCAUUAGUGGAGAAAAGAUACUCAUGACUAUUUUGGGGUAUUAGUCGCUGAAUUUGGAUUUGCCAUGUUCACCCCCUUGAUGUAUUUGCUUUGGAUCAUGGAAAAUGAAUUUCAGGCCUGGAACAAAAAUGAUGGUUACUUAUUAUUUAUAUUGUGGAGCCCCAGUCAUGGAUCCAGACCCCGUUAUGCCAAGUGCUGUGGUUUUAUGACUAAAUGAAAUUCAUUUUGGACAAAACCAUAUCCCAAUCAACUAGCCACCAAAGGACUGCUGGAUCUCUCUAGGAAAUCGCUAAGAUCUGCCUCUAGUGGAAGUGCCAGGUUGUGAAAAUGGUGCCCAUGGUAGGACUGGCACCUGCAUAGACCCUAAUAAGUAUUUUUUUAGCACGGAGGCCCAUUUCUUUCUGCUGUCAGCUCCCAUGACCAGUAAAGGAAUAGAAUUACAUUAAUUUUGUGCUUAAUUACCAGAGAGGAAGAGAGUUGCUGAAAUAUUCCCAGGUCUUUGGCUAGAGUCCUGUUAAGGAGGCAUUUAUUGGCAUCUGACUGCUCUCUUCCCAACUAGAACUGCGAACAUACACACACAUGCUGAAAUUACUGUGUCUAUAUCAAUGCAAAUGUGCUGUCUGCAUAACCAAGGUGAAUGAUAACGGAUGACAGAAAACUGGAUGUUCCAAAAGCGUUCAUAUAUUUCACAUGAAAUAAUGUUGUAACAUUGGACACUAAUUAACACAAACAAAUCACUCUAUUGACAGACUUAGUCCACUGGCCAGAGCCCUGACCCAAGGCUGCAAUCACACACCCAUGCCACAAUUACUAAUUUGUUAGUGACAAUGAUGGUGACAAAUGGUUCUUGGUUACCAAAUAUCUGAGCCCAGAAAAUUGAUUGAAUACUCUAGAUAGAUAUGACAUCGUGGGAGGGACCAUGUUCCCUCAAACUUAGAUGAGAAUCCGGGCACAAACACACCUAAAUAAGUCAGACAAAGUUAUGUGGCCACUCGCCUCACAGUUGGAACUACAAAAUAACCCCCUGACCAUAGUACUGACACAGGGGGCAAUUAAAUAAGAUAGAAAAGGCUCCCCCAAGGCUGGAAAGUAAAGAAAGUAAAUAAUAAUAAUUUGCCUAAACAAUAAACACCUCAAACCUUAAGAGACAUUCAACAUCUGAAUUCUCAUGGAAACUAUUUACUAUUUUAGUAGUUUUAAAGCAUUGUGUCAGCAGAGCGGCGUUCCAACUCAUAUUUGACUACAGUAAACUUUAAGGACCUGAUUCUCCUCUGACACUUGUUUUACCCCAGUAAAGCUGUUGACUUCAUUGGGAUACUCCUGAUUUAUACCAGUGAAAGCGAGAGGAGAAUCAGGGUCUGAAGAUAUUUUUAACCCUUGGCUGGCAUUCCAUCUCAGGCUGAUUCAUUGACAAUGACUCUUAAUGGAUGAUCUAACUGAGUGUUUCUUGCCAAUAAAAUAAAUCUCUUCUGUAACCUUUUUUAAAGUAAAGAAAUUCAGAUGUGAGACAUGAAAGGCAAAAUAAUGUGGAGGCUUAUAAUCAGAAUUUUUAAAAUGGGCAGAAAGAUUAUCAGAGGGUUAUAGUUUCUUUUUGUUGAUCAGUUACAAACUAUCUGAUGGAAAACAUUAUGAAUAGUAAAUCACAUGCGCUUUUGUGCACUCUUAAAUGUAGGAAGUAAUUUGACAACGCCAUACAUAUAUGUGGACUAUAGCUGGUGUCUGCACUUUCAAAUUAAAGUUUUAAUGGUGGAUGGUUUAAUGGUAACACAAACUUUAAAUACAUAAUGGGGAUGUAUUUAUUUUUUUUAGCCUGGCCUGUUGCUUAUUUCAUGAAUCCCUCUUUCACCGCCUAAGCAAGUGUGAGGCAUUGUGCUGCCAGCACUGUCCUUAUUCCCUGAAGCACCCCCACUGUCUGUCACUAUAGGGAUGGAAUAUUGUAAAUUCCAGGAGCUAUUUUCUCACUGCCAACCUGGGGCCAAGCUGACCUUAGUGGGAGCUGGGGUGACAUUCAGGAUCGGGCUCUUUGUAUCAGGAGGUUCAGAUGCAUUAGAGUGGAAGGCAUUCCAAUGGUUCUGAAAUUCCUGCAGGUGCUUAAACUGCAAAGGGUCCUUUCACAGCUUCACAUCUGCUGCUGUCAUGUGCAUUUGAGCAUGUGACCGUAGUGUUUGUUUGUUUGGCUGACUGACAUGUAGUGACCAGAACUGCUGAUAGAAGGUCUCCAACAAAACAGUUUUGCUGGUCAGAGUUCACUGGAAUAUAACCAAUCUGUACUGCUUGUGACAUUUCUCUGGCCUUUGGAAAAUAGUGCGUAAUGAUAAUAAGGUUGCUUAUAAAUGUGUAUUUAAUUUGCUUUCAAACUUGACAGCCUCUUUGUAGAAGAAAACAUCGACAGUGAGCAAAUGACACAUUUGACUCACCCAAUAGUCACAACUGCCCAAAACUGGGACUCAGUCUUCCAGCUCUUAUUCCAUGGGACAAUUUGGCUAAGUAAGGAUUACUGACAUGAGUGAGGGUGAGCAGGAUCACAUCCUGUAAUCCUGAUAAUGUCUUUUAAAUAUCAGAAAGAAAAUUGUCAGAACUUGCACCAUUCUGAAUAUUAGGGCAGAAUGAAAAAAAAGAAAAAGACAAAAGAGCCCCACGCUUGUUACUUAGUGGUGAUCAAACUAAUAAUUGAAAAUAAUGAAGAAUGGUACAAAAAGAUCUUUCAUUCCCAUUUGCCUCAUUUUGCCUGCUGUGCAAAUGACAAGACUAUUAUAGUCAGAAAAGUACAACUUUUCCGAAUGUCUACAGUUGUACAUUCACAUCCUCUUCUGAUCGAAUCAACCACUUUUAAAACUGCAUUUGACUUUUUAAAGCAUAUCUGUAUUUUUCCCUAUCUUGUUUUGUUUGUAAAUCUGUAUCUUAUCUGUUUUCAUGUUGUAAAGGACUAAAGCAAAGAUAUUUUCAGAAUAAAAAUAUCAGGUGGCAUUUGUCCUUCUUGAGUGUUCUAAAAAAUGGAUCAAAUAAUAUUAAAAAGAUUUUCUUGUCUUA